AAAUUAAUUAUUCUGUAGUUAAUAAAUUAUAUUAGUUUGGCAUUUUCUUCAUUUAUUCAAUAUGUAACCCUAUUGAAUAUCUGAUCAAAUAAUGAUCAGCACAACAUCAGUAGUAUGGUAGAAUUUAUGAACAAGUCUUUUAUGUCAGAGCUGCUCGAGCUGUUAAAAACUGUCAAAACCGGCCAGAAUUGUUGGGAAUCGUAAUUUCAUUUUAAGUUCUUCUUCUAAAGUAAAUUAGGUUUUCUUAAUUGUAAUUGUAAAUGUAAUUCUGAAAAUAUAAAAUACCAAGAAGUAUGGCCGUCUUAGCAGCUGCUGCGUUGUUGGACGAAUUAAUGGGAAGGAAUAGAAACGUCUUACCAAAUGAGAAAGUUAAAGAGCUAAAUUGGGAAGAUUCUGAAUAUUGCAAAUAUUAUAUGGUUAAGUUUUGCCCCCAUGAUCUUUUUGUUAAUACGAAGGCAGAUUUGGGAGCGUGCCCCAAAGUGCACGAUGACGAAGUCAAGAAAUUAUUCGAAGAAGCUAAGGGUCAUAGAAAAUUACAAUAUCAAGAAGAAUUUUUACGAUUUUGCAAUGCAAUGAUGAGUGAAGUUGAACGUAAAAUAGUUAAAGGCAAACAGAGGCUUGCCCUAAAUCAAAAAGUCGACGGCCCUUCAUUAAGUCCUGCUCAAACCCAAAGAAAUCAAGAACAGAUUAAUAUUUUAAAUGAGAGAAUCAAUGGACUUGAAAAGGAGGCAGAGCAAGCUGGGAUAGAUGGUAAUGUUGAGCAGGCUCAAGGUUUGAUGAAAUUGUGUGAUCAGCUCAAAGAUGAACGAGAAACUUUGAAAACCCAAAAUGAAAAUAGCCAAUGGAGUCUAACAGCCGAACUUGCAGCUGUUCAAGAAAAACAAAUGGAGGUUUGUCAGGUUUGUGGGGCAUUUCUUAUAGUUGGUGAUGCUCAGCAGCGAAUAGACGAUCAUUUAAUGGGUAAACAGCAUGUUGGCUAUUCAAAGUUGAGAGCAGCUAUUGAGGAGAUUACGACUAUUGUACAGGCAGCGAAAGAUGAACGGCGAAAUAAAGAGGAUAAGAGGGAACGGCGUAAAGACAGGGAUAGCAGCGAGAGAGACAAACACCGACGUGGUGGUAGCUAUGAGAGAGAAAGAGAUAGAUCUGAACAUAAAUUGAGUAAAGAAAAGGAACGAAAUAGUGAAGGUAGAGACAGGAGAGAUAAGGAGAGAAGAGAUCGUGAGGAGCGGAGGGAUCGGGAAAGGGAUAGAAAAGAUCGUGAAAGAGAGAGGGAACGGGAGAGAAGACAUCGAGAUAGAGAUGGUCAUCGGGAAUCAGGUCAUCGGAGUUCUCGUCACUCGCACUCUCAUCAUCGUCGAUAAAUUCACCGCGUAAUUGACCAGUAAGGCUGCCAGGUUCAGGUAGGUGCCAUUCUAGUGUAAACGUUCUCUUUCAGGCAAAUCAGGUUAGUGAUUUAUCUACCUCAUAGUUGUUAAAUGAGUGUUUUAAUUAUUCGAAUUAUUUAAAAUUAAUUCCUUAAAUGCCUUCAAUUUAUUGGGUGCCUCAACGUGUUAUAGAUUUUGAAUCUAAUUUUGGGUAAUAAAUGGCGUUCUCGUUAUGACGGAGAUUUUUAGAUCUUUUGAAAGUAUAAUACGAAAUUUAAUAUAAAUAAUUUAUUUUCACUGUGAAUGAAUGAAGGAAUGACGUGAGGGGUUUUCGUAUAAUUAAAGUUUUUGAGAAACAGGUAUCGGAAAAAAUUCAUCAAAGCAGAUUAUAAAUUCUCGUUUUAUCCAUAUCAUGUAUAGCUUUUUACUCAAAAGUAUAUUGUAUAUAUUUAUUUGUUUUAUUUAAACACACAAUUUGUUAAAUAAUUUUAACGAGUUAUCUCGCAAAUGAUAAAUACUUACAUAAAACUUUAUUAGUCAAAAUGGUACUGUGAACUACUAAAACUGGCGCUUACUCUGAAAUCGACUCUAAUAGUUUUUAUCAUUAGCUCUAAAGCAAAAAUUAUAUUAAAUGAACAGAAUACUGUAAAUCAAUAAAUAGUUAAGGGUGGUUACUCAGUUCUUGAGCUAAUAACAAAGACUCUUAGGGUCGACAAAUGCCUUAUGUUAUAUGCAAUAAUGAUAUUGCACUGGUGAUGAUACCUAAUGCUAAUUUUAUUUUUAAAGUACAUGCCUUCGGGUAAAAUGAAUUCCGCCGAUCGAAUAAACGCUUAACACAGACACAACUACACAUAGACACGCACAGACACACAUAAACAAUACAUACAAAUUACGCAAAACUUUUUUUCGCAACUUACGAUUAGUUUUAUUUUCUCUGUCAUUCUCACAACGUUUUUGCAAGUUGCCGUUUUCAGCAGAGAUAACAAAAGGGAAGGUCGAGCAUGGCCCGACACACAUGCGCUCUUUUAAUCGUGUAGCCGAUGAUUUUUCGAGGUAUUUAUAGGAUUAAGGCAUCUGUUUCUCUCAAUCUUCUUCUUGUUUCAAAAAGCUGUCGCAAACCCAUCUUAUACUGCGAGUUGGCAACAAAACAGGUGAGCCAUAGCAGUUUACAAGGCUUCCGCAAGGACUGACGUGACUUCCAGGUGAUCAUCAAACGUGUGUUGUUACUGCCUCUUCAAGAGAUCAAGGUGAUUCGCACACUUCUAUUUUAAAUUUUGUUUUGUACCUUUUCCUUUUGAAAAUUCUCGAAUUGUGUAUAUACAUAAAACGUUUAAAAUUUAAAGUAGAAUUGUGCACUUAAACAAUAAAUAUUACCAAAUAUUUGAAUAUUAUUAGGCUCCAUUUUAAUCGAGUUUAUUACAUAUUUUGAUGUUAAUCUAAUAGGAAUAUUAUAAUUCUAAUAGCGGUAUUGUAACAUAGUGAUUACAGAUCACACAUCAAUAAAAGUCUAGUUAAAUGAA
rnacentral:misc_RNA from 1 species